CUCUCAUGUGAUGAGUCCCCUACCGCCCCAGUCUGAUUCCUGUGACUGAGUGGUUUCCUCUGAGUUGGG